UAAUCCUACGGGGGGCAGCAGUAGGGAAUCUUCCACAAUGGACGAAAGUCUGAUGGAGCAACGCCGCGUGAGUGAAGAAGGGUUUCGGCUCGUAAAGCUCUGUUGGGAGGGAAGAAAGAUAGAGGGAGUAACUGGCCUUUAUUUGACGGGAAUUACUUAGAAAGUCACGGCUAACUACGUGCCAGCAGCCGCGGUAAUACGGAGGUGGCAAGCGUUGGCCGGGUUUAUUGGGCGUAAAGGGAGUGCAGGCGGGU
rnacentral:rRNA from 1 species